AACGAACGCUGGCGGCAUGCCUAACACAUGCAAGUCGAACGAGACCUUCGGGUCUAGUGGCGCACGGGUGCGUAACGCGUGGGAACCUGCCCUUAGGUUCGGAAUAACUCCCCGAAAGGGGUGCUAAUACCGGAUAAUGUCUUCGGACCAAAGAUUUAUCGCCUUUGGAUGGGCCCGCGUUGGAUUAGCUAGUUGGUAGGGUAAAAGCCUACCAAGGCGACGAUCCAUAGCUGGUCUGAGAGGAUGAUCAGCCACACUGGGACUGAGACACGGCCCAGACACCGCGGGGGGGCGGAGGUGGGAAUUUUUGAAAAGUGGGAAAAGGCUUGAUACAGAAAUGCCGGGGGGGGAAGGAGGGCUUAGGGGUUGAAAGCUUUUUUCCCCGGGGAUAAAAAGAAGAGAAGGGGAAAAAAAACCCCGGGCAAACCCGGUC
rnacentral:rRNA from 1 species